rnacentral:rRNA from 1 species
UACGUAGGGUGCAAGCGUUGUCCGGAAUUAUUGGGCGUAAAGAGCUCGUAGGCGGUCUGUCGCGUCUGCUGUGAAAACUCAGGGCUUAACCCUGAGCUUGCAGUGGGUACGGGCAGACUAGAGUGCGGUAGGGGAGACUGGAAUUCCUGGUGUAGCGGUGAAAUGCGCAGAUAUCAGGAGGAACACCAGUGGCGAAAGCGGCCACCUGGACUGCACCUGACGCUGACACGCGAAAGCUAGGGGAGCGAACGGG